rnacentral:rRNA from 1 species
GACAGAGGGUGCAAACGUUGUUCGGAUUUACUGGGCGUAAAGCGCGUGUAGGCGGCUUUGCAAGUCGGAUGUGAAAGCCCACGGCUCAACCGUGGAAGUGCAUCCGAAACUGCAUGGCUUGAGUCUCGGAGAGGAAGGUGGAAUGCUUGGUGUAGAGGUGAAAUUCGUAGAUAUUGGGAAGAACACCGAUGGCGAAGGCAGCCAUCUGGACCGACACUGACGCUGAGGCGCGAAAGCGUGGGGAGCAAACAGG